AGUCGUAACAAGUUUACGUGAGGUCAGUUGAGCCUGCCAACGACGCGGUCAAGGCCGUCGCUAGUCUCCGCUGGAGGCGACACGCUCAACCUGUGGGAAGGCCCGUCCCGGGAAAUCCACAGCCCACUUCCCUCGCCCGGAAGUCGGUUUAGAGGCUCAAUGAGCGUGGGUGCUGAUCUCAGCGCUUGAGAUAGAGUCCGUCCCAGCUGGUAACCGCUGGGGGCGAACGGAACCUGCGGAAGGAUCAUUACAGAAUUGACAGCUUUGCGAAGCCAGAUUCUCACCCCGUGUAUACACCAUCUCUGUUGCUUUGGCGGGCGCCUGGCGCCUGCCAGAGGGAAACCCUUGAAUCUCUGCAGUCUGAGCACGAUAAAUAGUCAAA
rnacentral:misc_RNA from 1 species